rnacentral:pre_miRNA from 1 species
UCUUAUGAAUGAACAAAGGAAGUGGUUCUUGAGGUGGAAUCUACCCCUGGUGGAUAUGCUGUGAG